rnacentral:pre_miRNA from 1 species
GUAAUACUACCUCCGUCCGGAAAUACUUGUCGUAGAAAUGGAUACAAAUGGAUGUAUCUAGAACUAAAAUACAUCUAGAUACAUCCAUUCCUCGGACAAGUAUUUCCGGACGGAGGGAGUAUUUG